rnacentral:tRNA from 1 species
GGGGAUGUAGGUCAGUGGUAGAGCACUUGCUUAGCAUGCAGGAGGCCCUGGGCUGGAUUACCAGCACCCCUG